rnacentral:lncRNA from 1 species
UCAUCCUCAGCAACAGAGCCAAUUUUGUCUUUAUAGGGCAACCACUUUCCUAAGCAUAAAGCUGUAUGAACCUAUGGUUCCUGACUCAGAGUUAUUUUCUAUGUGUCUCCCAAGUCCAAGUUCUUUUUUUUUUUUUUUUAACCAUUACACACAACUAUUAGGAAGAAAUGAAAAGAGAACUAUGCUUGCUGAGAAAAUGGAAACAGUUUAAUACUGAGUGGGUGAUUCUCCCACUGGAGGGCUCCCAUCAGCUGCUAAAUUUUAGGGAAACUGUGCAAGACAGGUUUUUCAUAAUUUUUGCAUGCUUUCUACUGGGUCUAUUAGUCACUGUGAUCCAGAUGUGUACUCGAGAUUUAUAGUUGUUUACUUGGGAAGCAAAAUCUCAUAGGAAACAGGAAAGGGAUUUUUCAUUUAAAGAAUAAAUAUUUGUGUUCUAGAUGAAGAAGAAAGUGCCUUCCUGAGCUGAAUUUCUGCUGCUGGGUAGUUAACAGUCUGGUACAUAAUAAUACCACACAUUCAUUGACCGAGGGAUGGGCUCUGUGCUAACACAGUCUAAGCAUCACUCUUCUUCUUAAUCCUUACAAACCUUGUGAAGUAGGUGCUGUUCAGGGCUGCAUGUUUGCAGACGAAGAAGUAGGCUCAGAAAGACAAGAUGGGUUCGCUGAGAUUCUUCGGGUAGUUGAAAGGCAGAGCCAGGAUCUGAGCCCAGGCUGUGUAAUUCCAAGGCCACAUUUUUGGGCACCAUCCUAUCCUAUUUUGCUUGUAGCUUAUCCGAAACAACCUAAUUUCAAUCUGAUUUCUUUUUUUUUUUUUUUUUUCCCCAAACAGGACUACAUACUUGUAAUUCUGUCCAUGGAAGUAGGCCUCAGUUUCUGUGUUCAGAUGCGUCUCCGUGCUUCUCUUCACCAGGCAGCAGGAUACAGAGUGCCACAGAAGUUUGCUUCUAUCUGCUCUGGUUCUUUACGAUUUUGUCUUAAAGUUGAACUCUCAAGAUGGCAUCACUUCCUUUAUGUUGUAAGUUCCUGUUGGGAAUGGAAAAAAGUGUCUCAUUGUGUCCCCUGUGUCUAGACAACAAUAAUCUGGACCAUCAGCUCCAGGAGCUAUGAAGUCUUAUGUCAUAGCUGCAUGCCUUCGUCUUUUCUGAGGUGCACUGCGAAUCAUCUUCAACCGUUAAUGAUCUCAGCACCCAGGCAUGUGAAUUGUGAUUCCUGAAAAAUAAAAUCAGACAGAAUCAUAA